GAUGAACGCUGGCGGCGUGCCUAAUACAUGCAAGUCGAGCGAACGGACGAGAAGCUUGCUUCUCUGAUGUUAGCGGCGGACGGGUGAGUAACACGUGGAUAACCUACCUAUAAGACUGGGAUAACUUCGGGAAACCGGAGCUAAUACCGGAUGAUAUUUUGAACCGCAUGGUUCAAAAGUGAAAGACGGUCUUGCUGUCACUUAUAGAUGGAUCCGCGCUGCAUUAGCUAGUUGGUAAGGUAACGGCUUACCAAGGCAACGAUGCAUAGCCGACCUGAGAGGGUGAUCGGCCACACUGGAACUGAGACACGGUCCAGACUCCUACGGGAGGCAGCAGUAGGGAAUCUUCCGCAAUGGGCGAAAGCCUGACGGAGCAACGCCGCGUGAGUGAUGAAGGUCUUCGGAUCGUAAAACUCUGUUAUUAGGGAAGAACAUAUGUGUAAGUAACUGUGCACAUCUUGACGGUACCCAAUCAGAAAGCCAUGGCUAACUACGUG
rnacentral:rRNA from 1 species